AAAAAAAAAUUAAAAAAUAAAAAGACAAAAAACAAAAGCAACAAGAAAAAGGAGUGUUUAUUUUAGGGAUUCAGGCAUUUUGUAGAACCCAAGGGUAGAAAUGUACCAUAAGCCCAGGAGGGCUAGUUUAAGAUGGGACAUGCACACUGGCCCCAUCAGCCGCCCUCUCACUCCCGCCUCUGCUUCUGCCUGGGUCUCCUCACCCUUUUCCUUCUACAGUCUGGCUCUGGCUCUGGCUCUGCGCAGGAGGGCAAAAGAUGCUUUCUCAGAUCUAAAGAGCUCUGAUCUGCAAUUCUAAAGCCCUGGGAGAAAGAAUCUGAUUUGCUCCUCUUGGGCCCCGCAGCUCUGGACAGGGAAUAAGGGUCCAUGCUCAGAGAAGGUGAAGUCUGGGUGGCUGGGCAGACCCCAGAGGUCAUGCCGGAGUGUUCUGGAAUGUGUCCAACUCCAGAUAUUGUCAGAACCCAUGUUCCGGAGGGAGGGUGCUGAGAGGUCUUCGUUUUUAACUUCCUCAUUCCGCCCUUUAAAGUAGAACAUUGGCUUCCACAUUUAUAAUUCUUCUGUGGAGUUAUUAAAUCCAUAAAUAAAGAUUUAAUCUUUUAAGCUCUGCAUCGUGAGAGCAGAAGAGCAGGCAGAGGAGAGCUGACCAGCCUUGGAGGCCAGGAUAGCAAAGGAGGAAGCGGCUGGGCUGCUGGGGCAGAGGAGCAGGCAAGGCUGCCGCGGUGGAGAGGAGCAAAGGGCAGAAGGACGGCCCCUGCCCUCUGGCUGAAGGAACAGAAGAGCCCUCCUGGGGCAGAAACCACCCUGCCGAGGCAGCCACAGAGAGGCUAGACCGCAGGCCCUAAGGAGACCUAUCCUGCAGGCUGGGAGGAAUACCAGGACAGUCUCAACAGCUCUCCAAACAGACAUGUUUUGACCUUGAGCAGCAUCCCGGGCUCAGACAUUGGCUCAGGUUCCUUGACGAAGACGGCGAGAGGAACACGGUUUUUCUGGCAGACAGAUGCAAGGACCAGCACGGGCAGGAGAGGAUACUGAGAACAAAGAGGACAGCUGGGAAGGGCUGAAGAGGUUAAAGACUACGUGCCUCCUCCAAACUUUCUCUUCCUGAUUGGAUGCUGAGAAGUCCAAGGCUCUGAUCCUUAACUCCCUGCCGCCCUACCAACCAGGAGCACCUGCACUGGGAACUUAUGUGAGUAAGAAAUAAACUUCUAUUAUGUUAAGCCAGGAAAACUAGGGCUAGUUACCAAAUAACUGAAGCAGGGCACCUAAAUCCAGUACCUCACAGAAAAAAAAAGAUGGAGGUAGUCAGGUUAAUAAUAAAACCCACAAACACAUCAAUGUAU